rnacentral:sRNA from 1 species
GGACAUGGGGAAUCUGGCUUGACACGUCACCCCACAGAUCCUCAGGUUCAUCUAGCUGAUCUGGCUGGUGUAGGUGGCAGCCGUAUCCCUCACUGCCCCAGAAGGUCUAUCUCAAGGUUGUACAUAUAAUGGAAUACAAUGACAUUUCCAAGAGGCACAUAAAUGAUUCUUUUGCCAAAAGGAUUUACCAGUAGCCGACUAGAAUAUUUAAUUUCACCCCAAGAAAUUACAACAGUGCAUUUAGACCUUUAUGUCACACCAUACACAAAAAUUAACUCAAAAUAGAUCAUAGAUCUAAAUGU